rnacentral:rRNA from 1 species
GAUGAACGCUGGCGGCGUGCCUAAUACAUGCAAGUCGAGCGAACGGACGAGAAGCUUGCUUCUCCGAUGUUAGCGGCGGACGGGUGAGUAACACGUGGAUAACCUACCUAUAAGACUGGUAUAACUUCGGGAAACCGGAGCUAAUACCGGAUAAUAUUUUGAACCGCAUGGUUCAAAAGUGAAAGACGGUCUUGCUGUCACUUAUAGAUGGAUCCGCGCUGCAUUAGCUAGUUGGUAAGGUAACGGCUUACCAAGGCAACGAUGCAUAGCCGACCUGAGAGGGUGAUCGGCCACAUUGGAACUGAGACACGGUCCAGACUCCUACGGGAGGCAGCAGUAGGGAAUCUUCCGCAAUGGGCGAAAGCCUGACGGAGCAACGCCGCGUGAGUGAUGAAGGUCUUCGGAUCGUAAAACUCUGUUAUUAGGGAAGAACAUAUGUGUAAGUAACUGUGCACAUCUUGACGGUACCUAAUCAGAAAGCCACGGCUAACUACGUG